UUUGAUUUAACUGUCAACAGGAGUCUCUGUCCCCUCUUUGCUCAGAGUUUCUCUCGGACACCUCUUGGAUCUCUCUUAGGCUAGGAUUCCUUGCCAAGAAAUUUUAGGCUAGGUUAGGAGCUCUUUGAGAGGGCUUUGAGUUGCUUCGCAGAUACGGG